rnacentral:rRNA from 1 species
AUGAACGCUAGCGGGAGGCCUAACACAUGCAAGUCGAGCGGGAUUGGCAGCAAUGCCAUGAGAGCGGCGCACGGGUGAGUAACGCGUAUGCAACCUACCUUAAACAGGGGGAUAGCCCAUGGAAACGUGGAUUAAUACCCCAUAUUAUUAUAUAUCCGCAUGGAUUUAUAAUCAAAGCUCCGGCGGUUUAAGAUGGGCAUGCGUGACAUUAGUUAGUUGGUGAGGUAACGGCUCACCAAGACUACGAUGUCUAGGGGUUCUGAGAGGAUGAUCCCCCACACUGGUACUGAGACACGGACCAGACUCCUACGGGAGGCAGCAGUGAGGAAUAUUGGUCAAUGGGCGCAAGCCUGAACCAGCCAUCCCGCGUGAAGGAUGACGGCCCUAUGGGUUGUAAACUUCUUUUCUGUACCAAGAAACAAUCCCUCGCGAGGGGUCUUGACGGUAGUACAGGAAUAAGGACCGGCUAACUCCGU